CCUACGGGUGGCAGCAGUGGGGAAUAUUGGUCCAUGGACGCAAGUCUGACCCAGCAACGCCGCGUGAAGGAAGAAGGCUUUCGGGUUGUAAACUUCUUUUAAGGGGGAAGAGCAGAAGACGGUACCCCUUAAAUAAGCCACAGCUAACUACGUGCCAGCAGCCGCGGUAAGAAGGAGGUGGCACGCGUUUUCCGGAUUUACUGGGGGCAAAGGGCGUGCAGCCGGGAAGACAAGUCAGAUGUGAAAUCCCGCGGCUCAACCGCGGAACUGCAUUUGAAACUGUUUUUCUUGAGUAUCGGAGAGGUAAUCGGAAUUCCUAGUGUAGCGGUGAAAUGCGUAGAUAUUAGGAAGAACAC
rnacentral:rRNA from 1 species